rnacentral:lncRNA from 1 species
CGCCCGCCAGCGCCCCGGAGGCCGAAGUCACGCAGUCGCGCUCCGUCGCAGGCCUGUGACGUUACGAACCUCUCCCCCGUGACCUCUUCGACCCAAACCUCAAGCGAAAAUUCCCUAGCUCGCUAGACCGGCGCAGGACUGUGACUGCGCGCCUCCUUUUACCUGAGAGGGACCGCCGGGCCCCCGGGCGCAGCCGCCAAAGGCGGGGAGCCGCCGCCGCCCCGGCGCAACUCAUUGCCGGAACUAAAAAAAGCAACCACUUCGUUGAACGGAACUGGCCAAUAGUGCCCUUGGCUCGGACUGAUGACGCACAGCAGACGUAAGGAAGGCUCAGCUCGCCCGCGCACCGGUGGGAACGCCCCCUAGCUCUGCGCUAGGGGUUAGAUUGGUUAGAUACGACAAAUAAAAAGAUUUUAUUGGGUGGGGUCACUGUCAAUCACUCGGAAGACCAAGGCCAAGGCGCCUUGGGUUGCCAGGGAGAUGAAAAUGCUAAAUUGCUGUUUAGAAAGAUCAGGACAAGGUUAUGAUUUCUCACCCAAGUUCCUGGGGAAAAGGAUCAUGAGGGAAUUACUUAUUAACAAGGAAAAAGCAAAGAGGAACUUUACAAACUAUUACAGUUUUCCAUCAUCACUUGACUGCUGACAAGAAGCCUCUUUGAAUUCCAGUAUACACGAUCACAUUUUAAAACCUUCAAGACGCCGUUUAAUCAGGAGUUGUAAGGCACAUUUGUUAGAGAGAGCUGCACUUUAAAAGUUAUACAGACAUCACCUGAAGUUAUUAAAGUUAUCAAAACAUAUUAAAAACCUUCAAGUAAGAGGCUACUCCCCAGGAAACGUGUGGAGCCAGUGAACGGAAGAAAAACAAUGGAAGGAAGGCUUGAAAAGUCCAUUACAAAACUACAGUCCUUUGAAAAAGAUUUCAAAGAUAUUAAAAUGAAAACUGAUUACAUUAAACAAUAACUUAAACUUCUGUUCUUCUGUUAAAAGGUUGACAUCUAUCAAUUUUGGAUGUUCGCCUUGUACAUACAGAAUGACAGAAAGAGAGAGAAUGACAUGGUUGAGAAAGUCAGCUGAGCAUGUAAUUAACACGUGGAUGAUCACUGUGGAGGCUCUCUAGCCCAUUUCCUCAUUUGUAAAAU